rnacentral:misc_RNA from 1 species
GCUGUUUUGAUUUUCGUUUCACUAGGAGAUUUGUUUCUUAUUUGUCUCAACAGGCAACACAGAAUGGAAUUUAUGACUUUUUGGGGUUUUGUUACUUAUGCUAGAAUGUAGAAUCAACUAGAAAUUAUACCGAGGGGCAUUAUAUGUGAGUUAGAUAAUUAGCUUUGAUGGUGACUCUAAAGGUCUAAUUGCUUUUAAUCUAGAAAUUCACAUUUGAAUU